rnacentral:rRNA from 1 species
UACGUAGGGUGCAAGCGUUGUCCGGAAUUAUUGGGCGUAAAGAGCUCGUAGGCGGUUUGUUGCGUCGGCUGUGAAAUCCCGAGGCUCAACCUCGGGUCUGCAGUCGAUACGAGCAAACUAGAGUGUUGCAGGGGAGACUGGAAUUCCUGGUGUAGCGGUGAAAUGCGCAGAUAUCAGGAGGAACACCGGUGGCGAAGGCGGGUCUCUGGGCCGAUAC